AUACGGAGGAUGCAAGCGUUAUCCGGAUUUAUUGGGUUUAAAGGGUGCGUAGGCGGAUGAUUAAGCGUGAGGUGAAAUGCCACUGCUCAACAGUGGAACUGCCUCGCGAACUGGUUGUCUUGAAUGCUCCUGCCGUGGGAGGAAUGUGUGGUGUAGCGGUGAAAUGCAUAGAGAUCACACAGAACACCGAUUGCGAAGGCAUCUCACGAAGGGGUGAUUGACGCUGAGGCACGAAAGCGUGGUGAUCAAACAGGAUUAGAUACCCUGGUAGUCCACGCAGUAAACGAUGAUAACUAACCGCUGGGUCGUAGUGAUUCAGUGGCCAAGCGAAAGCGAUAAGUUAUCCACCUGGGGAGUACGACCGCAAGGUUGAAACUCAAAUGAAUUGACGGGG
rnacentral:rRNA from 1 species